UUGUUUUCGAGAUAAAUUCGGCUCGAGUAACAAACAUUAGAGUAGCUAAUAGAACAAUAUGAAAGUAAAAAGGACAUGGAGAAUAAUAAAGAAAACAUAACAUAGCAAUCCAAAGAGGAGCAAUAACAACUAUAACCAACUAAAGUACCCAUUCAAACAUACAUAAGGAUAGAUUCAACAAUAAGGACAAUACAAUAAAAUUUAAGUAACAAUCAAAACAUCCGAGUGGAACAUUUUUGUAGCAACCUUGUCUCUUGUUUAAUUGAUGAAAACUUGAGCCUCACAUCCCUACAAGAAACUUUGAUAUCAUAAGAUUCAUAAUUUCCCUUUACCUCCACCGUAAAAACCACAAAUCCACUUGUCCUAUUUUCCAUUAUCUUAAUUGGAAAAUUACUGAAAAUCACCUGUAUCGACGAACAUUCUCCUUUUUGCUGACGAUAAACACCUAAUGCAUUCAACCCGACGAUAUUUCCGUCAUGGGAAAUCGAAGCCACCAUGCUUUUGUACUCAACUUCAUAAGGGGCACGAUUUUCAACCACGAAAUCGAUAGUCAAGUUUUGAGAAAAAAGAGAUGAAAAACUAAUAUUAUUGGAAGGUGUGAUUGCUUCAAUAAUAAAUUUGGGAUAUGUUUUUUCAUAAGACAAAAAGGAAACCAAGAAACAAGAAAAAUAACAAAGCAAAAGGGAUAAGAGGUAGAAUAAAAUACCCUAGUAAAGGAUACUUGUAGAUUAUGAGACCACAAAAAUAAUUGUCUUUAUAAUAUUGUUCAUCAUGGUUUUGUUCAUUGGAUGAAACAUAAAUAACAAUAGAGGGAUUGGUUUUUUCUUCAUUGAAAGCCAUAACGUAGAGCUAAUAAACAAAAUAUAGAAAACUUAGGUCAAGAAAAAUAACAAAACCCUAAAAUAGGAGAAAUCUAUCUAUAAUCUAUAAUUUAUAAUCUAUAUCUAUAAUCUAUAAUCUAUAAUAUAUAAUCUAUAAUCUAUAUCUAUAAUAUAUUAAAAGUGUAAAGACACUUUUU
rnacentral:lncRNA from 1 species